GGGUGCGUAGCUCAGUUGGUAGAGCAACUGACUCUUAAUCAGUGGGUCUGGGGUUCGAACCCCCACGCGCCUACCA
rnacentral:tRNA from 9 species